GUGAAACACCACUUCUCGUAUGAUCACUGAAGUUAAGCAGCAUUGAAGCUGGUCAGUACCUAGAUGGUUAACCACUUGGGAAUACCAGGUUCUGU